UACGUAGGCAGCAAGCGUUGUUCGGAGUUACUGGGCGUAAAGGGUGUGUAGGCGGUUUUUUAAGUUUGGUGUGAAAUCUCCCGGCUCAACUGGGAGGGUGCGCCGAAUACUGAAAGACUAGAGUGCGGGAGAGGGAAAAGUGGAAUUCCUGGUGUAGCGGUGAAAUGCGUAGAUAUCAGGAGGAACACCGGUGGUGUAGACGGCUUUUCUGGACCGUAACUGACGCUGAGACACGAAAGCUGGGGUAGCAAACAGG
rnacentral:rRNA from 1 species